GCCCGCACAAGCGGGCAUGUGGUUUAAUUCGAUGCAACGCGAAGAACCUUACCUGGUCUUGACAUCCACAGAACUUUCCAGAGAUGGAUUGGUGCCUUCGGGAACUGUGAGACAGGUGCUGCAUGGCUGUCGUCAGCUCGUGUUGUGAAAUGUUGGGUUAAGUCCCGCAACGAGCGCAACCCUUAUCCUUAGUUGCCAGCGGUCCGGCCGGGAACUCAAAGGAGACUGCCAGUGAUAAACUGGAGGAAGGUGGGGAUGACGUCAAGUCAUCAUGGCCCUUACGACCAGGGCUACACACGUGCUACAAUGGCGCAUACAAAGAGAAGCGACCUCGCGAGAGCAAGCGGACCUCAUAAAGUGCGUCGUAGUCCGGAUUCGAGUCUGCAACUCGACUCCAUGAAGUCGGAAUCGCUAGUAAUCGUGGAUCAGAAUGCCACGGUGAAUACGUUCCCGGGCUGCCUUGCCCGGGCCU
rnacentral:rRNA from 1 species